rnacentral:rRNA from 1 species
GGACCCGCACAAGCGGUGGAGCAUGUGGUUUAAUUCGAUGCAACGCGAAAAACCUUACCUACUCUUGACAUACUUGGAAGCUUUUGUAAUGAAAGUGUGCCUUUUGGAACCAAGAUACAGGUGCUGCAUGGCUGUCGUCAGCUCGUGUCGUGAGAUGUUCCGUUAAGUCGGAUAACGAGCGCAACCCUUACCCUUAUUUGCCAGCGAUUAGGUCGGGAACUAUAAGGGGACUGCCGGUGAUAAACCGGAGGAAGGUGAGGACGACGUCAAGUCAUCAUGGCCCUUACGAGUAGGGCUACACACGUGCUACAAUGGGGAAUACAGACGGACGCUAAGCCGCGAGGUGGUGCUAAUCCUAGAAAGUUUCUCGUAGUCCGGAUUGGAGUCUGCAACUCGACUCCAUGAAGUCGGAAUCGCUAGUAAUCG